rnacentral:rRNA from 1 species
UACAGAGGGUGCAAGCGUUGUUCGGAAUUAUUGGGCGUAAAGGGCGCGUAGGCGGUUCGGCAAGUCUCUAGUGAAAUCUCUGGGCUCAACCCAGAGUCUGCUUCCGAAACUGCUGUGCUUGAGUGUGGAGAGGCGCGUGGAAUUGCAGGUGUAGCGGUGAAAUGCGUAGAUAUCUGCAGGAACACCCGUGGCGAAAGCGGCGCGCUGGACCACUACUGACGCUGAGGAACGAAGCUAGGGAGCAAACAGG